AUUGAACGCUGGCGGCAGGCCUAACACAUGCAAGUCGAGCGAGCGGCGGACGGGUGAGUAAUGUAUGGGGACUGCCCGAUAGAGGGGGAUAACUACUGGAAACGGUGGCUAAUACCGCAUACACUCGGAUUACCACUAUGGGAUUAGCUAGUAGGUGGGGUAAAGGCGUACAUAGGCGACGAGCUCUAGCUGGUCUGAGAGGAUGAUGCGCCAUACGGGGACUGAGAAACGGCCCAGAUUCCUACGGAGGAGGCAGUGGGGAAGUGUGCACAAUGGGCGCAAGCCUGAUGGGGCCAUGCCGCGUGGUUGAAGAAGGCCUUAGGGUUGUAAAGUACUUUCAGCGGGGAGGCGUUACCCGCAGAAGAAGCACCGGCUAACUCCGUGCCAGCAGCCGCGGUAAUUC
rnacentral:rRNA from 1 species